UACGGGGGGGGGCAAGCGUUGUUCGGAAUUACUGGGCGUAAAGGGCGCGUAGGCGGCCUACUAAAGUCGAACGUGAAAUCCCCGGGCUCAACCCGUGGAACUGCGUCCGAUACUGGAAGGCUUGAAUCCGGGAGAGGGAUGUGGAAUUCCAAGUGUAGCGGUGAAAUGCGUAGAGAUUUGGAGGAACACCAGUGGCGAAGGCGACUUUCUGGUCUGUAACUGACACUGAGGCGCGAAAGCGUGGGGAGCGAACAGG
rnacentral:rRNA from 1 species